GUAGGUGAACCUGCGGAAGGAUCAUUAAGAGAACUUGCCCUCCAGGGUAAAUCUCCCACCCUAUGUUUACAUACCUUUGUUGCUUUGGCGGGCCCGUCUCACGACCACCGGCGGCAGAUUAGCUGGUCAGUGCCCGCCAGAGGACCCCAACUCUAAAUUUUAUGUCGUCUGAGUACUAUAUAAUAGUUAAAACUUUCAACAACGGAUCUCUUGGUUCUG
rnacentral:misc_RNA from 1 species